GACGAACGCUGGCGGCGUGCUUAACACAUGCAAGUCGAACGGAAAGGCCCUGCUUUUGUGGGGUGCUCGAGUGGCGAACGGGUGAGUAACACGUGAGUAACCUGCCCUUGACUUUGGGAUAACUUCAGGAAACUGGGGCUAAUACCGGAUAGGAGCUCCUGCUGCAUGGUGGGGGUUGGAAAGUUUCGGCGGUUGGGGAUGGACUCGCGGCUUAUCAGCUUGUUGGUGGGGUAGUGGCUUACCAAGGCUUUGACGGGUAGCCGGCCUGAGAGGGUGACCGGCCACAUUGGGACUGAGAUACGGCCCAGACUCCUACGGGAGGCAGCAGUGGGGAAUAUUGCACAAUGGGCGGAAGCCUGACGCAGCAACGCCGCGUGCGGGAUGACGGCCUUCGGGUUGUAAACCGCUUUCGCCUGUGACGAAGCGUGAGUGACGGUAAUGGGUAAAGAAGCACCGGCUAACUACGUG
rnacentral:rRNA from 1 species